UUAAAUCAUAGGACUACCCGCUGAACUUAAGCAUAUCAAUAA
rnacentral:rRNA from 1 species